rnacentral:rRNA from 1 species
UACGAAGGGGGCUAGCGUUGCUCGGAAUCACUGGGCGUAAAGCGCACGUAGGCGGAUUGCUAAGUCGGGGGUGAAAUCCCGGGGCUCAACCUCGGAAUUGCCUUCGAUACUGUUAGUCUUGAGUCCGGGAGAGGUGAGUGGAAUUCCUAGUGUAGAGGUGAAAUUCGUAGAUAUUAGGAAGAACACCAGUGGCGAAGGCGGCUCACUGGCCCGGUACUGACGCUCAUGUGCGAAAGCGUGGGGAGCAAACAGG